ensembl:lncRNA
AUGCAUUUGGUGGACAUUCCAAAUCAACUGAAAUGUCUCAACUCUUUGGAACAACAUCUCAUUGCACGUAACAUUCCUUUUAUGAAAUUACUAUGCCUUCCUCGUGGUAAACAACUUGGAUGCCAUGGCCCUGUAGUGUGUGUCCCGGUAAAUGCCAAUGAUGUGUCAAAUAUCCUUCCACGAAAUGAAUGUGACGACAAGAUGAUAAGGAUCAAACUGAAACGCAAGUUAACCUACAAAGGGCAUUAUGAGUACAAGUAUGUACACACUGAUCGUGUUCGAAAUGGUCUGAAAUAUUUGAUCAGGUUCAAUAAGUGGUUUGGUGAUGUGGAGAUUAAUCAGCAGUGGAUCAACUCUUUGAAUGAACCUGAAGAAAAUGUUGUAGAUGAAAUGGAGCAACAAGAUGUAAUUGAAAAGAUUGAUGAAAAUGACCCUGAUGAACAGCAAGAGGAAGACCUUACCUACAUCAAAGAGCAAAGCGGUCUUUUGUCAGAUACAUCAUUGCAACCUGUGGACAUCGGUUCAGAAGUAAUUGAUCAGCAUUUCCAGGAUGUAUUAAAUCUGGCACCGGCUGAAGGUAACAGUCCUGUUAGUUUGUUAUCUGAUAGGUCUAAUGAAGCAAAAUGUUUCCCUGUUCUCUAUCCAACUGGUGGUCCGACGUUUCAUGAUAAGAGGGAGGUAAAAAUAACUUUGUCAAGAUACUUAAAUGCAAGAAUCCUCAAUGCAGAUGGACGUUUUGCACAGAGAACAGACUUCAUUUUCUAUGCACAGUAUUUGUCGGAGGUUGAUCAAGUUGUAUCUAAUGUUUCAAUUGCUUUACGGAAAGGAUCUGAGAAGAGUUUGUUGACUGAAGUAACAUCGGAUAUGCUAACAAACCCAGACUCAUUAUCUAAAAUAUUGAAUUUUGAUGAAGGAUACAAGUUUUUGAGACCAAUCCGUGAAACGCCACCAUAUUGGCAGUCUACUCAAAAAGACCUUUUUGCACUUGUAGGACCGCUAGGUAUUCCAACUUUCUUUGCAUCCUUUAGUUCUGCGGAUCUCAGAUGGCCUGAAAUUAUUAGUACCAUAACCAAACAAGAAGGGAAAAAUCUGAAAGCAGAUGAACUUGACUGGUCUGAAAAAUGUGGACUGAUUAGACGAAACCCAGUGACUGCAGCAAGAAUGUUUGAUCAUAGAUGGCAUUGUUUUCUGAGAGAUGUAAUCAUGUCUUCAGCUCAACUGAUUGGGAAGAUAGUAGAUUACUUUUAUCGUGUAGAGUUUCAACAGCGUGGAUCUCCUCAUGUUCAUUGUCUGUUUUGGGUUGAAAAUGCACAAAAGUUAAAUGAAGACAAUGAUGCUUUGGUUACCAGUUUCAUUGAUCGUUACAUCACUUGUGAGACCCCAAGAGAGGAUGACACUGAACUGUUUGAGACAGUCAAUUGUGUUCAGAAGCACAGUGUUAGACAUUCAAAGACGUGUCGUAAGAAAAAGACAGUUUGCAGAUUUAAUUUUCCACGACCCCCAUCUAGCCGUACCUUUAUUACAAGAGGUGGUAGUCGAGACGAUUUGAAAAGCAGUGACGGAAAAGAUACUGCACGUACAAUUUUAGAAAAAGUCAAAAAGGCUUUAACAGCUUCUGAUAUGAAUUAUGAUUCGACAGAUGCAUUUGAGUCCAUUGGUAUUAACCAAGCUCUCUUCGAGAAAGUGUACACGCAGUGUUCCAAAAAGAAAACCGUUGUCCUGAAAAGAAGUCCAAAAGAUGUCUGGGUGAACCAGUAUAAUAAACAUUUACUGCGUGCCUGGCAAAGCAACAUGGAUAUCCAGUAUGUCACUGAUGCUUACUCUGUAGUGGUUUACAUUAUUAGUUACAUCACAAAAGCAGAACAAGAAAUGGGUUUGUUGCUGCAACGUGCGCAAAAUGAAGCCAUUUAUGGAAAUCUUGAAGCGAGAUCAUCACUGAAAAUGCUUGGUAGUGUAUCUUCACAACAGAAGUUUCUGCUCAAGAGGCUGUGUAUCGUCUGA